CGCUGGCGGCGUGCUUAACACAUGCAAGUCGAACGGAAAGGCCCUGCUUUUGUGGGGUGCUCGAGUGGCGAACGGGUGAGUAACACGUGAGUAACCUGCCCUUGACUUUGGGAUAACUUCAGGAAACUGGGGCUAAUACCGGAUAGGAGCUCCUGCUGCAUGGUGGGGGUUGGAAAGUUUCGGCGGUUGGGGAUGGACUCGCGGCUUAUCAGCUUGUUGGUGGGGUAGUGGCUUACCAAGGCUUUGACGGGUAGCCGGCCUGAGAGGGUGACCGGCCACAUUGGGACUGAGAUACGGCCCAGACUCCUACGGGAGGCAGCAGUGGGGAAUAUUGCACAAUGGGCGGAAGCCUGAUGCAGCAACGCCGCGUGCGGGAUGACGGCCUUCGGGUUGUAAACCGCUUUCGCCUGUGACGAAGCGUGAGUGACGGUAAUGGGUAAAGAAGCACCGGCUAACUACGUGCCAGCAGCCGCGGUGAUACGUAGGGUGCGAGCGUUGUCCGGAUUUAUUGGGCGUAAAGGGCUCGUAGGUGGUUGAUCGCGUCGGAAGUGUAAUCUUGGGGCUUAACCCUGAGCGUGCUUUCGAUACGGGUUGACUUGAGGAAGGUAGGGGAGAAUGGAAUUCCUGGUGGAGCGGUGGAAUGCGCAGAUAUCAGGAGGAACACCAGUGGCGAAGGCGGUUCUCUGGGCCUUUCCUGACGCUGAGGAGCGAAAGCGUGGGGAGCGAACAGGCUUAGAUACCCUGGUAGUCCACGCUGUAAACGGUGGGUACUAGGUGUGGGGUCCAUUCCACGGGUUCCGUGCCGUAGCUAACGCUUUAAGUACCCCGCCUGGGGAGUACGGCCGCAAGGCUAAAACUCAAAGGAAUUGACGGGGCCCCGCACAAGCGGCGGAGCAUGCGGAUUAAUUCGAUGCAACGCGUAGAACCUUACCUGGGUUUGACAUGGAUCGGGAGUGCUCAGAGAUGGGUGUGCCUCUUUUGGGGUCGGUUCACAGGUGGUGCAUGGCUGUCGUCAGCUCGUGUCGUGAGAUGUUGGGUUAAGUCCCGCAACGAGCGCAACCCUUGUUCACUGUUGCCAGCACGUUAUGGUGGGGACUCAGUGGAGACCGCCGGGGUCAACUCGGAGGAAGGUGGGGAUGACGUCAAGUCAUCAUGCCCCUUAUGUCCAGGGCUUCACGCAUGCUACAAUGGCUGGUACAGAGAGUGGCGAGCCUGUGAGGGUGAGCGAAUCUCGGAAAGCCGGUCUCAGUUCGGAUUGGGGUCUGCAACUCGACCUCAUGAAGUCGGAGUCGCUAGUAAUCGCAGAUCAGCAACGCCGCGGUGAAUACGUUCCCGGGGCUUGUACACACCGCCCGUCAAGUCAUGAAAGUUGGUAACACCCGAAGCCGGUGGCCUAACCGUUGUGGGGGAGCCGUCGAAGGUGGGACUGGUGAUUAGGACU
rnacentral:rRNA from 1 species